CCCUUAGAUGUUCUGGGCCGCACGCGCGCUACACUGAUCGAUUCAACGAGUUUUGAAAUACUUUUUAUAAUUUUUCAUAUCCUUUGUCGGAAGGCAUGGGUAAUCUUUUAAAUGUCGAUCGUGAUGGGGCUAGAUUCUUGCAAUUAUUAAUCUCCAACGAGGAAUUCCUAGUAAACGCAAGUCAUCAGCUUGCAUUGAUUACGUCCCUGCCCUUUGUACACACCGCCCGUCGCACCUACCGAUUGAGUGGUCCGGUGAGGCUUUGGGAUCUGAGCGGAAAGAGCGUUUCGCUGUUUCUGCUCGGAAAACUCAGUCGAACCUUAUCAUUUAGAGGAAGGAGAAGUCGUAACA
rnacentral:rRNA from 1 species